rnacentral:rRNA from 1 species
UUAGAUACCCUAUUAUACUAAGAAUUGCUCAGAUUAUUAACAGUUAUAUUCUUGAAAUUCGAAGAAUUUGGCGGUGAUUUAGUCUUGUUAGAGGAACCUGUUUUAGAAUCGAUAUACCACGCAAGAUCUUACUCAUUUUAUUUAAACGAAGUUUAUAUACCGUCAUUAUCAGAUAAUUUUCUAAAAACUAAUUAUUAAGGUUUAAAAAAAAGUAAAAGUAAGCAAAAUUAGAUCAAGGUGUAGCUGAUAAAUGAGUUAAAAUGGGUUACAAUAAAAUUUAUUUAUUACGGAGUUAACAAUAAUAAGAUAAAAGAAUAAGGAAGGAAACGUUAAUGAAGGAGGAUUUAAUUGUAAUGGGAGUUUAAUAAGCUUAAAAGAUAUAAGCUCUAAAUCAUGUACAUAUCGCCG